rnacentral:lncRNA from 1 species
CCCUCACUCAUUUCAUUCUUUAAUUAUGCAGAUAAAAAUUUAAAAAAAAAUGUUUUGUAAUUUUCUUUUGUCAUAUUGCCACUUCCGUUUUGAAGCUCCCAAUUAAGUCUAUGAAAAUGAAUGACGUUUCAUUCUUAUUCUUGUCAGCCUAAUUCUUAUAUAAAUGAAGAGUAAAUUGUUAUUACGAUAUUGGUCAGCCAAUAAAUUCUUCUUUUUUUUUCCCCCAAAUAUGAGUGAUCAAAUUGUUUGCGCAUAGAUAAAUGUACUUAAUUUGCAGGAGGUAUUCCACGGGAAUUGGGGAAUCUUACAAAAUUGGAGAGGUUACAACUGUUCUGGAAUAACUUGACCGGUAGCUUUCUUUACAAUAUAUAUACGAGACAUCUUCCGCUUUUUAUUAGAAAUUAUAUAUUCAAGUUAAAUCUUAAUUAAAAGAUUUCAAGUCUCUCAUUAUAAAUUCUCAUAUGAGGAUGUGUCGUUACCACUAUCUAACAUUAUUCCGUUUUUUUAUUAUAAAUUAGUUUGUGUUAAUUCAAAAUUCUGUAGCAUUUAAAAAAAAUUAAAAACACGUGGAAUAAAUCGUUAAUCUUUCUUCUUUACUGAAUUUGGAUUUCUCAAAAAUAAUCUUGACAAGUAUGCUUCACUAAUGAUAUGCAUGUGUGACAACUUGAUAAAAUAUUUUAAAUGGAAUCACUAAUUAUCUUUAAAGAUGCCAUCAGUGAUACAUAAUUUAUUAACAAGCACCAUACCAAAAGAAAUCAACAAUUUUAUUAAUCUUAAAGAGUUACAUCUUCACUGCAAUUAUGACAUAAAUUUUUAGUCAUCAAUCGCAUAAUAUUUUAUCUUAACGGAUGAUGAUGUUCAGUCUUGGAAUUUAUAAUACCUUGAAGGUUAGUAGCUUUGAAAAUAAGAAAUUGUUCAUUUGCUAAAAAGUUAACUUAGUAUUUAAGUUUUUCAAUUGAAAAUUUUGAAAAAAGUCUUGAGAACUAGCCCUCCUUAGUAUUUCGGCUGAUAAAUAUGAAAAAUAGGCUAGAAGAAAUUAUUGUUGUGUGUGCUUAGUCUACUUGGGCUUCGGGCUUGAUUGCACAGUUGAGCACUUACACCUAUUAUAAUAAUAGGCUUUUACUUUCACCACACGUUUGAUAAUUUCUUAACCUUCCCAAUUAGGUUAUAGCAACUUAUAUAUAUAAAUAACUAAAGCAUACUAAAAAGCUAGCAAUUUUUUGACCGGUAUCUAUUUCACGUCUUUCAUUAUAAAUUCUCAUAGGAUGAUAUCUCAUUUUUUAUUAGAAAUUAAUAUGUGUUUAUGCAAAAAAUUUUAGCAUCUAAAAAAAGUAUAAAAACACGUGGAAUAAAUCAAAAAUCUUUCUUCAUUACUGAAUUUCGAUUUCUCAAAAAUUAUCAUGACAGCUAUGUUAGUGUCUUACUAAUGAUAUGCAUGUGUGACAGCUUCAUAAAAUAUUUUACAUGGAAAAUAUAAAAAUAGACUUGAAAAAAUUUAUUUUACUGAAAUAAUAGUUAAAAAGAGAGGAGAAGUACAAUUCCCAUGACUUAGGCUUGUUGUGUACUUACACAAGGUCGAACACUUACAUCCCACGACAUAGGCUUUUAGGGAUGAGUGGCAUCAAAUGUGUCUCUGCUUUUAUGUAUUAUUAUUCUUUGAAACAAAUCUGAUUAUAAUUCUUUUAAAAUACAGAUUAAAUAGCACGUGAAAUUGGAAAAUAUUUUACUGCGAUAAGAAUUCAUAUAUUCAUUGUACUAGCACAUAUAAAAUAGACUAUAAAUUUAGUUCCAAAAUACAUUCUUAUUUUCAUAUAAAUAUUACAUUAUUAAUUUAAAUUAAUAUUAAAAUAUGUUGUUUCUUUCACUAUGUUAUUCUAUUUACACAAUGAUGUGACUAUUGGAAUUAAUAAUACUUAUAAUUAUUUUGUAAAAUUUAAUACUUUGUUAACAUUUUAUCUACAUAUAAUAAUUAAACUGAAACUUGUAUUUAAAAAAAUUCCAGUUACGCAUAUUCAUUUCAUGACAUAAAAGUGUAUAUUUAUGCUAAUUUACCAUUAUCAACAAAAUGCUUUGAGACAAAUAAUCUAAUUUAUAUUUUUAUAUUUAAAAUACUUGCAUUUAUUAUAUUUUGAAAAAAAAAUUAUUUGCAAUUAUUUUAAACCGUUGGAUUCAAAUUUUCGUAGUUAUUAAAGUCAAAGGGUAUAAAUGUAUAAUAGUCAAAAACAGAUUUGUAUGAUCAUUUUUCAAUGUAUAAAUUUUCUUAGUUAGUAGGAAAAAUUAGAAAUUGUUGAUUUACUCAUAAAUAAAUUUAAUGUUUAGCAUUUCAAUUUUGGAAAACUUGAACUAAAUGUUGAUAACUUCGAAUCGGUCGAGCCGAGUUUCGCUUCCUUGACCCACGGACCCAUUGAAAGUUCUAUUCGAAUUGAGUUUCCCGGUGCUUAUAAAAAGCAUUUCUUUUCCUUGUCGUAGAUUUAUUCACAAAUGAGUUGAUUAGCAUCGAAGUUACCUGAGAGUCUGAGACCAUGCUAGUAGGAGAAAUUUGAAAAGAAAUUAUUUUACUGAAUUAAUUUAUUUUAUCUUGUUGUAACUGAAAUACUACUUUUUUUUUUGGGCUAUCACUGGGGCUUGAUUUACUUUAAUAGUAGCAGCCACCGACUUAGGCAUUUUUUACUUCUCACCACACAAUUUGAUCUUUUAAUUCGUUUUAGCCACAUAAUCUAUCUAUCUCUCACCUAUUGCUUACUUAAAUCUCAUACAUAUUUUAUCUACUAAUUUUUAUAAAUAUUAGUCAAAUGUAUUUUAUUAUGUUUCUCUCGUAACUGCUCCAAAUGUGUACGAUUAAUACUUAACCCUCCCUUUUAAUUUACCGUGCAAUCUCUAUCACUUAAGUCACAUAUAUAUUUUACCUAUAUUUUACCCCAAAAAAUAUAAAAAUAAAAGAAAAAGAAUAUGUGUAGCAAUUUGCAUAUAACUAACAAAGCAUUGACGGUGUGUAGCCUUUCAAUACUUCACGAGUGGCUUUUCUUGUGUGUUAGUACUUGUAAUAAUUGUGUAGUGUAUAAAUGACAUUUUAUUAUUAAAGUGCGUCCAUUUUUAGAUAUUACUUACACUACUAGAAAAAUGGUCUUUACUGACUUUAGAAUAGUGUCAGAAAUUACUUUUACUGACACUUGUUAAUUGUGUCAGUAAUCUGGGAGUCAGAAAAAUAGUGACACUUGUAAGUGGUGUCAGUGAUUACUAUUACUAUAGUAUCACCGAUAUUAUGACACCAUAGUGUUAGUAGUUAUUGAUAUUUUAUUAGUGUCUAUGAUUACUGUUACCAUGGUAUCACUAGUUAAUUUAUUUUUUAAAAAGUAAAAAAUUAAAUUGGAUCAUUGCCUAUUGAUUUAUUUGUAAAAUUAAAAGCACCACAAAAUAACAAAAAGAAAUUGAUUUAUAUCACAAAAUCUUUCAUUUCACAUUUAAAUAUUAUUAGUAUAUAUUACAAAUUGAACUUCAAUAGCCAAAAUAUGAGAUAUCCUACUCUCAUAACUAAAUAAUCCAAAUUCAAUACAUAAAAAUUAGUCUCUGUCCCUAUCUGACCAACUUCCAUCAGAAUUAGCCUCAUCACUUCUGCUUUCACUGUGAUAAUUGGAGCGCCUCCGACUCCAAGUUGUUUCAUGAACUUGACGUUCAUCAUCAUGGCUUCUGCCAGAACCACUUUUCACAAUAUCAGCCUCCCUUGAUCUGGACCUUCUGUAAUGAUGCCUGCAUAGGAAAUUACAAAACCAUAAAUAACCAGAAGAUUUCUAACAUCAGCAGUAAAUACAUUAACUAAUGAAAUUUGAUCAUAGUUUGGAUCAUCAUCCCUUGUACAUAAGAUUGCAAUGCUACAUCACCAAAGGCUUCUUGUUGAAUCUAAUUAUUUUCUUGCCAUGCUUGCAAUAUGGUCAUUACGCCACACACUAAUCAUACAUUUUUGAAAGUGGGUUUUAAUCUCGAACAAUAGACCAAAAAAACCAACAGAAGAACUUUCUUUAAAUCUUGCAUUGUGAGAACAUCUUUUCAUUAUUCAUUGCUUCUAAGAAAACCGAGUUAGGAGACUUGAAGAAAACACAAAUGAAGAGAACGAUACUAUGAAGAAACCUCUCAAAAUCAUCGGUUAAACAUGGAAGUUUAAACUAAAAAAUUCAAAUAACAGAAAGUGAAUUAAAUAAACAAGAGUUCAUAUAUACCAAGUACAGUUUUUAGUGUCUAUGACUAGUAAUAAAAGCAUACCUAUCGGCAUUAGUUGAAUCUAUCUUGUUCCUCGUUUGUCCUGAGCGUUCUUGAUUCCAGGUCCCAGAUUCAUCAGAAUAACCAAAUAAAGCAGCCAUCUUUUUCACCCAAUAUCUCGGAGGUGGUUUAUCCCAAUCAGCCUAUUCAUAGUCUCCGCCAGGGUUGCGAAAAUAGUGGAUAAAAUUGCAAGCCAUUCCACGAGAGCAUGUCUGUUAAAAUAUGCCCAACAAAGAUAACAAGAGUGUAAAAAAAAGAAGAAAAGAAACAAACUCAUUUCAUAUCAAAAGCAAAAUGGCAAAGAAAAAAGCAAGUGUAUAAGCCGCACAAUUAUAACUCUGAAAAAUGAGACAAUUGGCUGUACCUUUAGUCUUGACUUCAUAUAUUCCCCACAUAUGGCAAUCUUCCAUCUAGUCACAUUAAUAAAUUCACAUGUGAUCUGUCAAGAAACACACAAAUAAAUAAACCAUCACCAUCCAGAAAAUGACAAGCUGUAAAAUUCAGUAAACAGUAAUGUGUUGAUUACAAUUUAAGCAUGGAGAAAAAUUUCAGAUUAGACUAUGUCAACAGUGUCCAUAGAUAGUUAAAAGAUGGGAGAAUGUGCUGGCGUUCACUAAGCAUAUAAUUUUUCACAGCUUAACCCAUUACAAUUUUACCAGUGUCAAGUCUAAAGGAAACUAGUCAGGAAUCUUCUGUAAAGUAAAUAAAUAGUGAAACAACUGUUCUCAUAGCAAUAAAAUGAAAUUAUUUUAAUAAUUUUCUUCAACUUUCAGACCAAUUAAACAAGUGAAGCAAUUUUAGUACAAUGAACAGCAAUUUAAGUUGAAUGGGCAAUUGGAACAAUUACGGAACAACUAGACCCCAACGAAUACUGCAAAAACAACCCUUAAACAAUGACUUAAGAAAGUAUAAGCUUCUCUUAAGAAAGUAGAAGCUUCUCCUAGAUCAUGCCUUUUCAAUCUCCCUUUGCUAAGAAAGCUGCCCUAGUAUUUAAGACUAUCCAAAUCCUAUCAACAUGUUGGGACAUUCAAAUACAGCCUCCAAGAAGACAUGCUGUAAGCUUUACAACUGAAGUCUGUCGGAUAAACCAAAUCUUAUACCCAAUGCCAAGAGCUUUAAUUCAAUCCAUUUUGACAGGCACCAAUUACCAGGAAUGCAGGCAGACAAAGAGGAUCAAAAUGACAGGAUAUCAGUAUUCUGGAAUUUCUAUCAGAAACAUGAAAAGUGGCAAGGCCUAUUCACUGAGAGCCAAACAUUUUUUAAAUAGUAGUUACUUUAUAUAAAACAAACAAAUAUAAAGUAGAAAGUAAGCUCCAACAAUUCUUCACAAAGACUUGUUUCCCAGCAAAGUAACGACCAUUGACAGAAUGGUAAGCGAGAACAGCUAAUUCCAGGGACUUAUAGUGAACAUAGACAUUUCCUCUUAAGUGGGAAGAACCAUUUCUACACACCUGCGCAUAUUUGUUAGUUAGUAAAUGAAGAGCACCAACAACAUGUGUCAGUAAAUAGGUGUUGUGGCAAACAAUCCCAAACCUUCCAAAGUAAUGACCAUUGUUAGAUGACCAGCUCUGACAAUCGACGAUAUAUAGUAUAUUCCACAAGAAACUACUAGUUGUUAAGGAGAAAUUUUUAACUCAAACAGAGUUGUACAGUUAUGUGACUAGUGAGAGAGAGAAAGAAAGAAAGAAAGAAAGAAAGAAAUAACGAAAGAAAGAAAGAGAAAUAAGCCAAACAUAUAAACAAGAAAUUUCAUAAUAGCUAAAAUCAUUUGCAGCAUGUAGGAUACAUAAUAGCUCAUAGCCUUCACUCUUACCCAAUCAAGGCCAACACCAUGAAUCUCCAUCAUUAUGAAAACAUAAAUCUCUGAUUUCACAUAGUCAAAGAAAAUAAAUAAAAUGUGAACUCAAAAGAACUCACCAGUGAUACUAUCUAGAAUAGUUAUAAACACAUUACAAUAUAUCAACUGGAAAAAUAUUUUUCUAUAUAAAAAGCAUCUUCUAUAUAGCAAGGACAAUGCGUAUAUAAAAUGAUCCAACAAAUUGCACAAAAGUAUAGAAGUUUGGAAGAGUCCUUAUCAGGAUACAAGAAUCAGCAAUUACAUACCUCGAGCCUCUCAUCUUGCUCCCAAGCAAGCCCGAGACCAUUAUACAUAUUCUUGAUGAGUAGAGUGCACGAUUUAUCAAGGUAAAAAUGAACUAUGCUGCAUCUCUGACCAAACCGACAAGCUCCAGUCUUCAAAUGGAAAGGACAAUAAGCUUUAUCCUGCCAUAUAUAAUAAAAACAUGAUUGACCAUGAUAAAUAGGCAAAUAUAAUAGAAAUGAAAUAUAAUACAGUAAUUGCAAAUUGAAAAUUUCAGAUAGACAGAUUGAAAGAAAAGGCAUGCCUGUUCAGUUCCAAAAUUGGGCACUUGUUGAGCAACAAUCUCCAAUGCCUGUUGUGCAUUCUGGUGAUCAGCAAAGGCUUCUGAUUGUGGGGGCAGAGGAUUUGAUGUAGGCCUAUCAACAUCCUGCAAAAGGAAGUAAUAACGUAGAAAGUUUAAUUUUUGCCAUAACCGAAGAGAAUGGGCAUCCUGAAGUAAAGUAGAAACAAGCCUAACAUAGUUGUCAAUAGAGUCAAAAUUACCUCUUUUUUACUUAGUGGGUUCGCAUCCUUCUUCGGAACUCUGACCUUUUUCUUCCUGAUAAUAAUAUCAUUUCCUUGCCAUAUAAUUUCAGCAGGCCCUUCGCCAACAUAUUCCCAAUCAUCAUCCUCAUCACAUUCAUUCUCCUUUCAUCUCCAAAUUCGCGAUGCUCCGAGAACAUGCCGUAGCUGGUGAGCAAGCGGAGGAUAUGUUGCAAGUUCUCGGCGUCCCCACCGCCGGAUUGGAGGAUACGUGUCAAGAUCUAGGAGGCGGAGAGAGAGGCGUUGGCCCCAACUUGCCAGAUGGCAUCCGGUACAUGGAGACGGAUGGCAGCGGUUAGAGACAUGGGAACACUUAUCAUGUUGGCCAGCUCCAUUACGACCAAUCUUACCUUCUUCCCGCCAUCUCUGCACUCGUUAUCUUCCAUUACUGCUUACUGACCUUUGAUUUCGCAGCACCAUGCCGGCCAAUCAAAAAGAUAAGACUUGAGCACUUUUUGACAAUUUGGAUGUUAGGGAUUUUUCAGAUCUGGGGAGCUUAGGAGGGAACGAAUGCUUUGUUAGAGGGAGUUGAAAAGUUGUAUUUUGGAUAAGGUAAGACUUGUGCAUUUGUUUUGUUUUUAUCCACUCAAAAAGUAUAACUCUAAAAAAAUUAAAAAUUAUUCGUAGCCUAGUGGUCUUUUGAUUCAAUGUAGAAGUUCUAGGUUUAAGAGGUCUUGGGUUCGAAUUCAGACUAAAACAAAAUUAAAAUGAUAAUUUUUAAUUGCUGAUACCUAAGCGUCAUUGAUCGCUAUUACUAAAGCUAUUGAUACUUCAGUAUUAGUAAUUAGUGAUACAUAUUUGUUAAACGCGGAAAAUGAUCCAAAUAUAUGUAUAUACUGAUACUUUUAAAUAAAGUGUCAGAACACAAGUAUCAGUAAAGACCAUUUUUCUAGUAGUGUUAUUAUUUAAAAAAUAAACUAAAUAUAAUUCUUUUAAAAUAUAGGGGAGAUACCACUUGAAAUUGGUAAUCUCCAAAAUCUGGAGGUGUUGGACCUUGGUCAAAACAAAUUAAUUGGUACUGUCCCAGCUGCAAUCUUUAAUGUGUCAACACUCAAAUUUAUUGAGCUUCAAGAUAAUUCUCUCUCUGGAAGUCUUUCGUCCAUCACAGAUGUCCGACUACCAAAUCUUGAAAAGCUUCAUUUGUGGGGUAAUAAUUUCAGUGGCACAAUUCCUCGUUUCAUCUUUAAUGCUUCUAAGCUCUCUAUACUAGAAUUUUCAAAAAAUUCAUUCUCCGGUUUUAUUCCCAACACAUUUGGCAACUUAAGAAACCUUCAGAAGCUGAGAUUAUAUGAUAAUUAUUUGACAUCUUUAACUCCAGAAUUGAGCUUUCUAUCCUCGUUGUCAAAUUGCAAGUCUUUAACACUUAUUGACUUAUCAAAUAAUCCACUAGAUGGCAUUCUUCCUAAGACGUCUAUCGGAAAUCUUUCUCAUUCUUUGAAAGAUUUUAAAAUGCACAAUUGUAACGUUAGUGGUGGCAUCCCUGAAGAGAUAAGCAGAUUGACCAACUUGACAACCAUUGAUUUAGGAGGCAAUAAGUUGAAUGGAUCAAUUCCGAUUACUCUCAGCAAAUUACAGAAGCUUCAAGGUUUGGGUCUUGAAGAUAACAAAUUAGAAGGAUCAAUCCCAGACAGUAUUUGUCGUUUGACUGAACUGUAUGACUUGGAGUUGGGUGGCAAUAAGCUUUUUGGAUCAAUCCCUGCAUGCUUCAGUAAUCUGGCUUCUCUGAGGAUACUAUCGUUGGGUUCCAAUGAGUUAACUUCUAUUCCCUUAACUUUUUGGAAUCUUAACGAUAUCUUGUACCUCAACUUUUCUUCAAAAUUUUUUACUGCUCCACUCCCAUUAGAGAUUGGAAAUUUGAAGGUUUUGGUUGGAAUGGAUUUUUCGAUGAAUAAUUUUUCAGGCGUUAUCCCAACAAAAAUUGGAGGCCUAAAUAAUCUAGAAUAUCUCUUCUUAGGAUAUAACAAAUUGCAAGGAUCAAUUCUUGAUUCAUUUGGUGACUUGAUAAGUUUGAAAUCCUUGAAUUUGUCUAAUAAUAAUCUCUCUGGGGCUAUUCCUGCAUCUUUAGAGAAACUCUCGUAUCUUGAAGAUCUAAAUCUUUCUUUCAACAAGCUGGAAGGAGAAAUUCUUAUGGGAGGAUCUUUUGGAAACUUCUCAGCUGAAUCAUUUGAGGGAAAUGAAUUAUUAUGUGGUUCACCCAAUUUACAAGUCCCGCCAUGCAAAACUAGCAUCCACCGCACAUCAUGGAAAAAUUCUCUUCUCCUCGGGAUUGUGUUGCCAUUGAGUACAAUAUUUAUGAUAGUAGUCAUUUUGUUGAUCCUAAGAUAUUGACAUAGAGGAAAACGACCAUCGAAUGAUGCUAGUAUGCCACUAGUAGCAAUGUGGAGAACGUUUUCAUACCUAGAACUUUGUCAAGCAACAGACGAAUUCAGUGAAAACAAUCUAAUCGGCAAAGGGGGUUUUGGCUCUGUUUAUAAGGCAAGACUUGGGGAUGAGAUGGAGGUUGCAGUGAAAGUUUUCAAUUUGCAAUGUGGAAGAGCAUUUAAGAGUUUCGAUGUUGAAUGUGAAAUCAUGAAAAGUAUUCGCCAUCGAAACCUUAUCAAAGUUAUUAGUAGUUGUUCAAAUGAAGAGUUUAAAGCGUUGGUAUUAGAAUACAUGCCUAGUGGAAGUUUGGAGAAGUAUUUGUAUUCAAGUAACUGCAUUUUGGAUAUUUUUCAAAGAUUGAACAUAAUGAUAGAUGUUGCAUCAGCUUUGGAAUAUCUGCACUUUGGUCAUUCAGCUCCAAUAAUUCACUGUGACUUAAAGCCAAGCAAUGUAUUGUUAGACGAUAAUAUGGUUGCUCAUUUGAGUGAUUUUAGCAUCACAAAAUUGCUAACAAGAGAAGAUCAAUCUAUGACUCAAACACAAACAUUUGCCACAAUAGUCUAUAUGGCACCAGGUUUGUCAAUAUAAAUAUUUUCUAUUUCUUGUAAACUUCCUAAUAAGUUGUUUAUGUUUCAUGAUCUUCAUUACAUGAGGAAAUUCUUAUUAAUGAUAUAUCUUACUAUGUAACUAUUGCAAUUCAUAGAGUAUGGAAGAGAAGGACGAGUAUCCGCAAAUGGAGAUGUUUAUAGCUUCGGGGAUUAUGUUAAUGGAAACUUUUACUGGGGAAGAACCCACAGAUGGAGAGGGGGGAGUGGAGCAAUGACAUUAAAGCAAUGGGGUUAAUGAUUGGCUACCCAUUUCCACAAUGGGAAGUUGUUGAUGUUAAUUUGCUAAGUCAGGAGGACGUACAUUUUGUUGCAAAGGAGCAAUGUGUGUCAUUUGUCUUCAAUUUGGCUAUGGCGUGCACUGUGGAAUCUCCUGAGCAGAGAAUCAAUGCGAAAGAAAUUGUAACAAUGCUCUUAAAAAUUAGAGGCUCAUUACUUAGAAAUGUUGGAGGCAGAUGUAUAAGACAAUCAAAUUUAAAUUGAUUCUGCCCCUCCAUUGCUUGCUAUCCUUUUCAGAGACUUGAACGGUUAUCCUUCAUACCAGUUUUGUUGAUAUGUUUUGUUAUUGCUCUUGCUCAUGUUUGUUUCUCUAUUUCUUUAAUUUGCAUGCAUGUAUUUUUCGUUCUCUUUUAUGUUUUUGUUGGUUUGUAUGUAGUUUGUUUUUAAGGGUAAGGUUGAUUAUGUCCUCCCCUAAUUAGACGUAUCCUUUUUAUUUUUAUUCAACAAAGCUUCUCUAAUACUAUCGAGGUUCAUCAAAAGAAAAUUUUAAAUUAAUUUUCUUUUCUAUGUUAGAUAAUGAAAUUCUAAUCUUCAUAGUGAAUAACCUCAAUAAUAGAGUGUAAGAGUAUUAGUAGUUAUGGUUCUUUUCUGAACUUGAAGUCAAGAGCAAUUUAACAGCAACAAACAAGUCUCUUGUAUUAUAGGCAAAAUUCUUUUCAUUAAUCUUAUUUGUCUACAUGUUCUCCUAUUUUCUCCAUUAAUCUUCGCUCAAAGUUUCAUGCUUCCUCUUUGAUAAAGGAAAAUGUUACUCGUGAAUAUUUCAAAUUUUCAAUUUGACAUGAGCGACUGUUUGCCAGCCAUUUGAUAAAAUGGAUAUGAGUGGAGUUUUCAAUCAUUACCUCCACCAAAAUCCUUACAACACCACUUUUUAAUUUUAUUUUUAAUAAUACAUUCAGUUUAAUUUAAAAAAAAUAAAUCCAUUUGUGGAAUUUAAUCUUUUUCUCAUAAAUUUCAACCUAAAAAAUAUAUUUCUUUUAAAUUUUUAUUACAAAAUAUUUACAAGUUCUAAACUAUUAAAUUAUUUUCUUCUUAUUAUAUAGUUUAUAUCUCCAUAACUCUAAACUCCUAUAAUUUUUUAAAAAAAUAUUUUUUUUAAUUUAAAAUAUAAAUAAUAAAAUAUAGGAAUGGGAGGUGAGUAUAAAAAACUUGUUAAAGAUAAUCAUAGUAUACUGAUUGAAUAAAUAAGAAUAUAUUUUUUUUUAUUAGUAGUAUUGAAAAAGAGCUUUUAGUAAUAUUAUUGAAAUAUGAUUAAAAUUCUUAUGAAUUAAACAUUUUCGUAUAAAUACUAGUGAUAAUUACAGAGAAAGUACGAUGAAGUGAAAAAACUUAAAUAUAAAUACUCUAGUAUAAUUUUCACAUGCAACUUAUGAACCAGUGAUAUUUAGAGCAUCAUAAAAUUGUUUUAACACGAUUAAUUGGUUUGAAAAAUUGCCAAUAAUGUCUACAAUGGGAUUUAAAAGAUUAAACUACAUAUAUAAGACAUGAUAUCAUUUAAGACGGCUUACAUAUUAUGAGAAAUAUUUUGAUCUUCCAAAUAUUUAAAAUGUCAAUUAGACUGAGUCUAUACAAUGAAAAUUUCAAAUAAAAAAUAAACCCUUUAUUUUCUUUUAAUCAUAAGUGUGAUCUUAAUUAUUAAAGUCAUUUAAUGUCCAUUACUUAUUCAUUUUUUUAAUUACCUAAAUGACAUUGAAAAAUCUACUCAAUAUUAAUUCAUUCAAAUGUAAUCGGAAACUGCAAAUGAAACAAAUGCUUGAAAUCACAAACGGCCUAAAAUUAUAUUUUCAUUUUUCAAUGUUGCAGUGACUUUGAUCUUGAUAUUGAAAAUUUAUUUGUAACUUAUAUAAAUGCCUCAAUUUUAUCAUAAUUCGUUAGUAAGGCUACGUAGGGAGCAUGGAUAAAUUUUGGGAUUGGAUAAUAUUUUUGGAACUAAAAAAUUAAUUUCAUCCAAUGUUAUAUUUGGCUGUCAGGACUAGCAACUUAGUCUAAAAUUAUUGAAAUUAUUAAUCUUUUAUAUUAUAAUCUUUUCAUUCCUACUUUAAAUAUUAUUGGUAGCUUAAAUCAUUUUUUAAAAUUAAAUAUAAAAAUAAUUUAAAUUAAAUAUUAAGAUUAAUUCAUAAUUUUUUUACCUAGAAUUUUAUACUAUAUUAAAUAGUAAAAUUAUAUUCGAUAAUGUAUUAUCAUUUAUUUAAUAAAUGUUUAGGUUUUAGUAUGUUAUAUUAUUAUUUAAAUUAAUUUUUUAUUUACAUAUAAACAUAAAUUAUUAUUUACUAAUUUAAAUUUAUUAUAAUUAGUUAAAUAAUAAAAGAUAAAUGAUUAUAUUGAAAAUAUAAAUGGUAUUCUAAUGUAUUAUAGUCUAAAUCUUACCCCUAUGAGUUUAUUUUAUACACCUUUUAUUAUAUUAACCACAUUUAUAAUGCAGUGCAAUGUAACAAAAAAUUAUAACCAAAUAUGAGUUAGCAUGAAAAUUUUAGUGCAAUAUAAUACAAUGUAAUGUAAGCUAACAAAUGGAUAUUUAAUGGAAGCAAAAAUUGCAUAUGGCUUGUGGGUCUCUUAAAAGACAACAAAUAAACCAAUAUGAUACACUGAUUCUGUCCUCUUUAAUGAUGUCUUUACUAAAUGGGAAUCAGAAUAAGUUAGAAUUGGAAUGACCUUAAAUCGAAAUAAGGAAUUAGAAUAAAAAUAAAUUGUUUAUUUAAGUUGUAUGAAUCAAAAUCGGAAUAAAUUUUACUCAAAUUAAUAUGUUUAUUUUCUCUUAAAAUUAGAAUGGACUAUUACAAGUUACUAAAAAAUCAUUUGAUAAUUGUUGUCUCUAGUAUUAUUUGCAUCGGUUAUAAUGUUAACAAUAAUAAGAAUAAAAAUGAUACUAAAAAUGAAAAUAAUAAUAAUAGUAGAGACAAUAAUAAUAAAAUUAAUAAAUUAUUGUUAUUAUUACUACUACUACUACUACUACUAGUAAUACUGAAGACCGCUCAGUGAAGAUUGGAUAGUGAAGAUGAAGAUGACGAAGAUGAAGAUCCCAGCAACCAACUGUUGUUCCAAAGAUGAUGUGCCCAAAUGGAGACAACCAGUGAUGACCAACCAACUAGAUCCCAAUCUCGAUGUUGUGAUCUCGUAUGACCACAGAUAAAUCUAUGUGUGAUGUCGGUGUCGUGAUUUUUUUAUUUAUAUUUUUUAAUUUAUCAGUGGUAUUUUCAAAUUUUUGUAAUUUUUAUAUGGGCAAAUUGGAUAGUCCAAUGAACAGGAGAUUGGUUCUCAACCAUCCUAAUAAUUAGUCUCUCAUUUUCUAUUUCUAAUUUGAUGUGGGUCCUGCUAUUUCGAUUCCAAUUCUUACAUUUAUUUGUGAGACAAAAUUAUGGUGCAACUGUAGUAGUAUUGGAUCUAGCUACAGUUAUCAUCAUGACUGGAUAUAAUGGUUGAAAGUAAUUGUGGUAUGGUACCACAGUUGCACCAUAGCUGAACCUUUAUUUGUGAAGUAAAAUGAUGUUAAUAAUUUUCAAUUCGAGAAGUAAACACAUCAUAAUAUUUUUUUUAGAUGCUUCCAUGGCAUAAUCUCAUUGGUCCAUUUUUCUUCACGCUUUUCUUCACGCCUUAGAUUCAACUUCAAGAUUCAAGAUUCAAUUUGAAGCAAACACAACUACAAAACAAAUAUAAUAAGCGUUAAUAAGCCUGUGGCUGAAUGGUUGUGGACUUGUGGCCAAGCAAAUGUAACUCAUAGUGAACGAAUCAUAUCUUAUUAUCUUACGCCAGAAGCUAAACAAUGUUCCCAUUCCACGUGUCACUCUCUGACCAAUCCCCGAACUUUCUUCAUAUUUCCAAAGAAUCCCUCACCAAGUCAAGAUAAUUACCUUCACUCUACUCAUAUAAAUACUGUCCUCGAUUCGACUGAUGUCUGAUGACGACAUAUCCUUAGUCUUUAUUUAAAAGGGGAAAUUAUAAAAAAUUCUCCUCGUUCCCUAAAAAUCUAGGGUUUCUCAAGAAUCGCUAAACCUAGAUCCCAAUCCUUGAAAAUCUCAAUUUAACCUCUCUAGGGUUUCAAUUGUCGAGGAUUCGCUUCAAAAUUUAGUAUUUUUUAGGGGAUUUUGCUUGUCUCGUAUCCUUCAAUUGUUGUUGGGUUCUGAAAAUAAUUUGGAAUUUUAGGGGUUUUCAGAUUAUUUGGUUUUGCUUGAGUGGAAUUUCCUCUAGUUACGGUUUCAGUUUGAAGGGUUAAGUGCGAUUUCGAAUAUUUUUAUAAAAUUUAAAUUAGAAUUCAUAAAACGAUUGGGCGUUUAAUAAUUAAUUGAUGGCUAGCGAUACUACAAUGGCGGCCGCAGCUGCGGAAGAAGCAGAGGCGGUGGAGGAGUAUGAUAGCGAUCCAGAUGAAGUGAAGCGCUCUCUUGCGAUGCGCAGAAGGGAAGCCAGCGAUGAGGAGGUUGAGGAGGAUAAAGAUUCAGAGCUUCCAAUAGUUCAAAGUGUCCACAUUCCUGCGGGAGAAGCGGAGACUGUGGAUGAGUAUGAGAGCGAUCCAGAUGAAGUGAAACACUCUCUCAUUAUGCGCAGAAGGGAAACAAGCGACGAUGAGGAAGAGGAGACAUAAUUUGAGCGUCGAAUGAAUUGAAGGGUCCAGAUUCACUCUUACAUUGAAUCUGAUGGCCAAGGUGGUACUCCAGCUGAGUAUGAUGAUGAUGAAGAAGAAGAAGAGGAACAUGACAGAGAAUUAGAAGAAGAAGAUGAAGAAGGGGAUGUUUAUGAGGCUGUAGAGGAAGAAGAAGUUUUUGAAGAAGAGGAGAGGAAUGAUGGGGCGGUUAAAGUCAAAGGAAUAGAGGGCAAUGAUGCAUGAGGAGUAUGGAGGGUGCAGUGGAAGUGAGUAAAGGGAAUAAUGAUAAUGGCAAUGGUGCUAAAAGAAUGAUGCAGCAGAGGAGGGAAUGGAGGAAGAGAAGAAGGAGAGUAAUGAGCCUUUUGCACAGCAGCUGGGGCUUUUUAUAUGGGACAAUGUUGCAGGUCGACACAGGUAUUAUUUGAUUUGAGUGACAAUUUAUAAAUAGCUAAUAGCUGUACUUUCAUUAGGGCUUGUCAAUUAAUCCAGUCUCGUUUUUUGGUGCUGUAUAAUGAUUGUUUGCUGGAAUCUGUGUAGAAGGCUUUUGGCCUAGUAGGUUGAAAGGAGAGAAAGUUCUCAAAUAAACAUCUGUGCUUUGUGGAAUAUAAAUAAUAGGUACAAAGCAUACUAAAUUACUUGACAGAUAGAUGCCGAGCUAAUCAUGAGCUAUGAUAUCAUUAUCCGUGCUUUGUGUAUUUUUAAUGGGGCUUGUCUAUUUCAAAGUGUGUAGUGUAGAAUUUUUGGGUUUAGUUUGAGUGAUGAAGCGUUAGAUAGGUUUCUGUUUGGCAUAGUUAAGUGGUUAAUACGAGCUAUUGAAGCAAAUAUGGAGUAGGAUAUCUAGUUUUGGGUUUGGUCUUAGUUUGAAGAUGGCUACUGAUUAUGCAGCUAGGUACGUAUUAGUGUUUGUGGAUUGCUAAAUGCUUUCUGUCAAAUGUGACUAGAUUAUUACUUGAAGUGCAUGGAUCUUACACUUAAUUAAUUAUAUAUCCAUUUGUAAUGUUCAAAAUGAUCAUGUACUAUUGCUUAAAAUUAUGUCUUCAAGACAUCAUUUUGAAUCCAUGGUUGUAAUGUGUCUCUAAAUUCAGUAAUACAAGUUCUGUCAAUUGCUGUCGGAUGGCAGUGACUUGAAUAGUUUAAUGUUCAUUUGCAGAAAAAAAUUGAGAAAGAAAACUAAAAAAUUUCUGUGCGUUCUGCUGGAAAUUUAAUUAGCUUCAUUUGAGCAUUAAUUGCUGGCAUUAGCUCUUAGAUUUCUCUUGCAUUGAAUGAAUGGAUGAGUGCUAAUCCAUGCAAAGACUUCCAUGCAUACACAAUGAAUGCUUCAUCAAAGGUAUGGUAAAAUGUCAACACGCUUGGCCCAAAUUAUCAAGCUGGUGUGGUGGCUGCUAGAUUUGUUCAUCCGGAUUUUGGACCAUUUUCAUUGACAAUGAGAAAAGCUGCAAGAUCUGUAAAUCGGAAACUCAUUGAAGUGCCAAAGGAGAGAUGGAAGUGAAUAACUAGAGAGUUAGUGAAAAGAGGGUGCAGUGAUUGUGUGGGAAGCUUUGGGUAUACUUGGGGUUUGGAUGUGAGAUAAAAUAAUUUGAGAGAGAGGUUGUAACAAUUUUUCGGUAAUAGAGUUUUUCAGGUAACUCUUGUGUUGUGUGAUUGGAGUAUUCUCUAUUGUAUUUUUUUAUUUGUUAUUUAUUUGACUAUUGCUAGCGGAGAUCUUGGGUGGGAACCAAAAAUUCCCAACAAUUGUCAAUUGUUUUAAACUCUAUUUCAAACAGAGCAUGAAGGGAUUCACUUAUCUGAUUAUAUCUUUUAUGCUUUAACUUCACUUAAUUUCAUCUUGUCUGUCACCUUUAUUAAAGUUGUAUAUGUUGGAGUAUUAGGUUCAUCACAGGGAUCAUAUUAUGGCUAAGGAAGGGGCACAGUUUAUCGGCUGCACUCAAUUGUAGCAGAGUAUUUGGAUUCAAGACUGUUAGAAGGUUGUUACAAUGCAAGGCUGUUGCUGUGUAACUGUAUGCCAUUCUCGCAAGUGCACUCUUAACAGAUUGCUGAGCUGGCACCGGAUGUUUUUAGCUAAUAUUAGUUAUUGGUCUAGAGUGUUCUGAUUUAUUCUAUAAAUAGCUCAUUUGAGCUUAGAACCUUUAUAGUGUAUCAUACAUUUCCGUUACUUCUAAUAAUGAUUUUCUCUAUUCCUUUUUCUUUCACUUUCGCUUCCAUUUUCAUGAUCCCCAAACACCAUCAAUCCAUGAUUUUCUAGAGUAUUAGUUGUCUAUUUCUACAAACAUAGAAUUGUUGUUUUAAGAAACAAAGUACUCUGUCCUGUCACCCGCGGUCUCCUUGUUUAUCGACUUGUGAACAGGGCUAAAUAAACGGCAAAUAAGAUUUGGGUCAAUGGGUCUAACGUGACAAGAUAUUGAAUUAUUGCCCUUUUCUUUUCUCCACAAAUCUUUGGUUAAUUUUUAGGUUCCCUCAACUUUUUUCCCCUUUAGCACUAAAAUUCAUUUUUGAUACUUUAUGCAAAAAUUAUGAUGAAAAUGAGUCACUUUAGAACAUCAAUAAAUUUUUAUUUUUACAUCCAAGAUAACGACAGUUACACUUAGAUCACUCUCAUUUAGUUGAAUUAUAUAGGUAAUAAAGUUGGCUUAACAAAAUAUGAUUCUUAAUUGUUGUAAUUAAGGGCUAGUAUUAUUUGGUUUUAGUUGUAGGGCUUAUAAUGCCGUGGCUCAAUUCUUGGUGGGUUCGAAUUAUUAGACGAUCAUUCUCAAUCCUUUACUAUUCGUAAUUAAAAAUUCCUGUAUCACAAUUAGAACUUACAAAUAAGUCAAAGUGGGUUAAAUCAUAUGUAUAAAUUCGAGGUCUAUUACAAACUUUUAAAAAAGAUUUUCUCUGUUUUUUUUCUCUUUCACCUUUUCUUCCAUUUUCUGAAUCCCCAAACACCACCAAUCCCUGAUUGUUUGAGUAUUAGCUGUCUAUUUCUACAAACAAGUUCUUGAAUUGAAUGGCUCCUCUUUUAUCCAUAGAUCUUUGCUUAAUAUUUUUGUUCCCUCAACCUUUUUCGGCCCUUUGCUCUAAACUUCUUUUUUGAUACAUUACACAAAAAUUAUGAUGAAAAUAAGUUACUUUAGAACAUCAAUAAAAUUUUAUUACAUCUAAGAUAAGACAAUUAUACUUAGAUUACUCUUAUUUAGUUGAAUUAUAUGUAAGAAAAUUAGUUCAAUAAAAUCUAAUCCGUAAAUAUUCCUUAUCACAUAAUUAACGUACUUAAAAAUUCUUAAAUGAUCGGUCGCUUGUUUUACAAUUCUUUUAUAUAUCUUUGAAACUUUCAGCUUCCCAACACAUCAUAUUAUUCUCAAUUCGUCUAAAUUAUUAUUUUUUUUUCAAACACUGCAGCAACAACCAGUAUAAAAUAGAAUGAACUCAAUUAAUGGAAAUUUUUCUAGAUGCUUUCAUGGCAGAAUCUCAUUGGUCUAUUUCUCUUUGCACCUGAGGUUCCUCUAACAAAUCUACCUCUUAACUCUCAUGUCCGAAUUUAAACUUAAAAGAUGUUCCCCGUCCCACGUGUCCCCAAAUCUUUGUAUUUCCAAACAAACCCCUGCCAACGAAGUCAAGUGAUAGGAUGGCUUUUAUUACAAACUGUAUGAACGUUAUGGCCAUGGGACAUUGGAUAAAACUAAUGGAAUGUAAAGCAAAAUUACCGAUUAAACUAAAUUGAAAAUCCAACCAAUUGAAUCGGUUCAGUGUCACUCAAAAUAUGUGUGUGUGUGUGUAAAACAACACAAUUAUCAUAUUAAUGAGGCACUAUUAAAUUCAUUCAGUGAAUAUUUUUUUUUUCAUUUUUAAUGAAUGCUUAAUAUGACAAACAAUCUGUCCCAUUGAGCACUGUUUAAGUCAUUCAAUGAAAAUGAAUACUUCUAUAACAAAACAAUAAUUCCCUUAUUUAUUUGACACGCAAAGAACUUUCUUGCUCAGCUCGGCGGCUAAUCCUUUAAAAUUUGUUAAAAUUCAGUUAAUUGAUGAACGAGACAUAACCUAAUAAAUCGUUUAAUUUGUAUAAUUGAUAAAAAUUUGAACUUCAAAUAAAAUAGAUAGAAUGAUUAAUUUUUUUCAUAUUUAGAUAAUUGAUAUAUGUCAUGUUACUAUGAGUAAAAGAAUGAGGUGUAUGAUAGAAAACAUAAUGUUUACGUUUGUAUUAAAAAUUUUAAGUGCAAAUCUAUUUAGUGUAGGUUAGACAUAAAAAUAGUUACCAACUUGUCUUGUUUCUCAUUUUGUUUAAUUUUCCUAAUUUGAAUAACUAUUAAUUAUGAGUCAAGGGUUUAUUGCGAAAAUAUGGUCUUCCAUUUACUAUAAAAAGAUUAGCGUGAUUUAAUUAUUUUUCUUUUUGCUUGGUGUCUGUAAAAUUAUGAAUACUUUGGUAAAUAAGAUAAUUAUAAAUACCAUUUUGAAAAUCCAUGGCCAUGGUUGUGAUGUAUCUUUAUCAAUCACGGAUACAAAAAUUAAUCAAAAUUAUCGAUUGUUUUAAAUUCUGUUUUUAACAAAGCAUGAAGAUUUCACUAAUAGUAAGGCUGUUGUUGUGUAACUGUAUGCCAUGCUCGCAAGUGCGCUGUAACAAAUUGCUGAGCUGGCACCGGAUAUUUUAAGCUAAUAUUAGUAAUUAGUUUGUAGUGCUCCGAUUUAAGGUGUAUCGUACGUGUCUUGUUACUUCUAAUACAUAUUUUCUCUAUUCCUUUUUCUUUUACUUUCUCUUCCAUUUUCAUGAUCCCCAAACACUAGGGGUGGCAAUAUGGGUCAGGAUUCGUUUAUUCGAUUCGAUUCGAUGCGAAUUAAAUGGGUUUGACUUUGAAAAAAUUGAUUCGUUUAAUAAAUGGGUGAAUUCGAUUCGAUUCGUUAAUUAAAAGAAUCAAAUGCGGGUUUGAAAAUUUUGAUUCGUUUAUUCGUUUAGAAUUCGUUUAAUAAAUGAGUUAUAAACGAAUCGAAUACGGGUCGAUUCGUUUAAAAUUCAUUUAUUAUUCGUUUAAUUAAAUUACUUUUUUAUCCUUAAAUUUAUUUGAAAACUUUUUAAAAUUUAAAGGUUAAUAUUAUAAUUUUAAGCAAAUAACUACUAUAUGACAAUAAAAAAAAAUAACAAACACAUUACACACUCACACAUUCGCAUUUGACUUUUGACAUUUCACACUCACACACGAUUGCACAAGGCCACAAACAUAAAAACCCUAACGCGUAGGGAAAGAGAAGUCGUCACUGCAUCCAUCAAAGCAGUUUGCCGCUGCUGCAACUCCUAGCCGCCGCCGCCAAUCCGGCCACACGGCACACCCCAACCCUCACCGACACAGCCACUGGUGGCAUGAACUCACACCACGACAGCUGCGCCACCACCACAACAGCCGCGCACAAGAUAGGUUUUCAUCCCCAACACCACUUCCCGCCGCGCUAACUACCCACCAUCACGGUACACCACUCAAAUUUUGCCUUUAAUUGAUGUUUUACUGCUGUUUUGUUGCUGUUUUGUUGCUAUUUUGUUGUUAUUUUACUGCUAUUUUACUGUCAUUUUACUACUAUUUCCCUGCUGUUUUACUGCUGUUGUUUGGCUGCUGUUUCGCUACCUUUUUUUGCUAUUUUUCCAUGAUUUUGUUGCUAUUUUGCUGUUAUUUUAUUGUUGUUUUACUGUUAUUUUAUUGUAGUUUUACUACUGUUUCGCUGCCAUUUUUUUGUUAUUUUUCCACGAUUUUGUUGCUAUUUUACUGUUGUUUUACUGCUAUUUUGCUGCUAUUUUACUGUUAUUUUGUUGCUAUUUUGCUGUUAUUUUGUUACUAUUUUACUGCUAUUUUGCUUUCGUUUUACUGCUGUUGUUUGGCUGCUGUUUCGUUGCUAUUUUUUUGCUAUUUUUUCACGAUUUUGUUACUGUUUUACUGUUAUUUUACUGCUGUUUUACUGAUGUUUUGUUGUUAUUUUACUACUUUUUUACUGCUGUUUUCUUGUUGUUUGACUGUUGUUUCACUGCCGUUGCUGUUUUGCUGGCAUUGCUGCUGUGUUUGCUACUAUUUUACUUCUAAUUUUUUGCUGUUUUGCUAUUAAUCAGGGCCCUUAAAAUAAUUUUGAAUUAUUUUAUUUUUAAGAGAAUGGACACAAGCCAAAGUAAUUCAGCCUAUACAAUUAACGAUUCUAGUGUUGGAGAUGAUGAUGUAAAUGACAUAAUCGAACUGGAAGAAGAGAUUGAAAAAGGUUUAAGGCCAGUGGAACAAAAGGCACCAUGGCAAAAGAAACUAACUUCACAAGUUUGGUCGUUGUUCCGGGGGAUAAGUAUCCGGACAACAAGCCGAGAGCGGUGUGUAAAAAAUGCAGCAUUAAGUACGUGGUUGUGCGCAAUUCUGGUACAGGUAAUCUAAGAAGACAUUAUAAAACUUGUGCAAAAUUUAAAAAGCGUGAUCCUGUACAAAUGAUGUUAGAUCGUAGUGAUGGACUGUCAACUUGUGUUCCCAAGUUUGAAGCUCAUGUGUUUCGUGAAUUAUUGGUUUGUGCCAUUGCUAUGCAUGAUUUGCCAUUUCAAUUUGUUGAAUAUGAGGGAAUUAGAAGAAUUUGGAAUUAUUUGUGUGAUGAAGUGCCCAACAUCUGUAGGAACACUGCGAAAGUCGAUGUGUUAAAAAUGCAUAAUAUGGAAAAGACAAAAAUUAGAAGCUUGUUAGAAGAAGCUCCUAGUAGAAUAUGUCUUACUACUGAUUUAUGGACUUCUAUAACUACAGAUGAUUAUUUGUGUCUCACUGCACAUUUCAUUGAUAAGGGAUGAAAUUUACAAAAAAAAGUGCUGAAUUUUUGUGAAAUGCCAACUCCACACACUGGGGUUGCUUUGGCUAAAAAAAUAUUGUCAUUGUUGUGUGAAUGGGGUAUUGAGAAAAUGAUUUUUUCAUUGACUGUAGACAAUGCUUCAAGUAAUGAUGUUUGUGUUAUAAUGUUAAAAAGUCAAUUGAGAUUAAGGAAUGCUUUGGUGUGUGAUGGGGAUUUCUUUCAAAUUUGAUGUUGUGCUCAUAUUAUUAAUUUAAUUGUUCAACAAGGAUUGAAAGAAAUUGAGAAAGAAAUAGAAAAAGCAUGUGAGAUUGUGAAAUAUGUCAAAGGGUCACAAGUGAGAAAAAGAAAAUUUUUAGAGUGUGUUAAGCAAGUAUCUCUAGACGACAAGAAAGGAUUAAGACAAGAUGUUCCUACAAGAUGGAAUUCAACUUUUCUCAUGCUUGAUAGUGUUCUGUAUUACAAAAAUGCUUUCCGUCAUUUACAAUUGAGUGAUUCUAAUUACAAGAAUUGUCCUUCUGAAGAAGAAUGAGAGAAAAUAGAAAAGAUUGGCAAAUUCUUGUCUAUGUUUUAUGAGAUCACAUGCAUUUUUUCUAGUUCAAAAUACCCCACUUCAAAUUUGUAUUUUCCGAAGGUGUUUGCGGCUAAGGUUGCUUUGGAUCAAUUAUUGUGUAGUGAGGAUGUGUACAUGAAAACUAUGGCACAAAAAAUGAUCGAAAAACUUGAGAAGUAUUGGUCUGAUUUUUGUACCAUUUUGGCCAUAGCGGUCAUCUUGGAUCCUAGAUACAAGAUGACAUUUAUUGAGUUUGCUUAUAGCAAGGCUUAUGGUCAAAAUUCGGAGGAGUUGAAACAUGUUCGAGAUAAGUUGUUUUCAAUUUUUGGUGAGUAUAAUUUGAUCACACCAUCUUCCUCCACUACAUACGUACUCACUCAAAUGAGUGAUGUUGGUUCAAGUGCGGGACGUAAUGACAAUAGUCAAAGUACACUUAACUAAAGGACCAUGGAUAUGCUCAAGGCAUAUUUACAAUAUUCUUAUUUGUUCAUUGUAUGACUUAUUAUUUCCAUGCUUGUUUUGAAUUUUGACUAUUCUUAUUUCUUAAUUAUUUUGUAGGAGUUUGAUGAUUUUGAUAACAUGGAUUGUAGUUCUUAUGUUAGAAAAUCUGAAUUGGAGUUUUAUUUAGAUGAGCCAAGAAUUGAUAGAAAGAUUGAUUUCGACAUUCUAAGGUUUUGGAAAGGAAAUGGAUUUCGUUAUCCUAACCUUCUUCCAUGACUCGUGAUAUCUUGAGCAUUCCUAUAUCCACUGUUGCAUCUGAAUCAGCUUUCAGUGUUGGCGGUCGAGUUCUUGAUCAAUUUCGAAGUGUAUUGAAGCCAGAGACAGUCCAAGCAAUUAUUACUACUAGAGAUUGGAAGUUUGGAGAGAUUGGUAAAACUUGCUCAUAAAAUUUAUUUACUUUUCUUUUAUAAUAUUAUGUGCAAUUUUUCUAAUUAAGAUUUAUUUUUAUAAAAUUAUUGUAGAAAAUUUGGAUGUCACUGUGGACCAACUUACUCAAAACAUUAUGAACAUGAGCACUAAUUGUGCUCUAUCUGCAGAGAGUGCCAAUGAUCCAAAUGACAGUGUGCGAGUGUGGUAGGUAAAGUUUUUAUCUUGUUUAAUUAUUAUUUCCUUGAAAAUGCUACAAAUUUGCUAUAUAUUUGAUUUUUGAAAUUUUACAAUGACUAUUAUCAAUAUUGCAGCAUGUUAAUAACAUUUUGUUUACUUUUUGGUGUAGAAUUUUUGUUUUCAAGGUGACAAAGACAAAUGAAGAGAAUUAAAGAAAUUACAUUUCUUUAUAAUUUGAAUUUAAAUUAUUGUUAUUUGUAAUAUUAAGGAUUUGGUAUUUGGUAUUUGGAUGACUGUAUAAUAUGAUGUGAAUUAUUUAUAUUUUGUUGUGGGAUAUUAAAUUUGUGUUUUUUUUGCUUAAUUUUUUUAUUAAUUAUAUUUUUCUAAACGAAUUGUAAACGAAUCCUGAUUCGAUUCGAUUCGUAUAGGAUAAAGGAAUAAUAAACGAAUCUGGAUUCGAUUCGAUUCUUUUAUCAAUUCUAUUAAACGAAUUAAACGAAUCGAACCGAAUAUUCGUUUAAUAAACGAAUCGAAUCCGAAUCAUGAAAUUUCAAUUCGUUUAAUAAACGAAUCGAAUCCGAAUCAUGAAAUUUCAAUUCGUUUAAUAAACGAAUCGAAUCCGAAUUCAUAGAAUUUUGACCCAAUUCAAUUUGAAUUCGAUUCGUUUAUUCGUUUUGCCACCCCUACCAAACACCAUCAAUCCAUGAUUUUCUAAAGUAUUUGCUGUCUAUAGCUACAAACAUAGAAUUGUUGUUUCAAGAAACAAGUUAGAUAUUGAACAGGGCUAAAUAAAGGGCGGAUAAGAUAUUGGGCCAAUGGGCCUAACGCAACAAGGUCUUGAAUGAAUUUCUUCUUUCUUUUCUCCAAAAAUCUUUUGUUAAUUUUUAUGUUCCGUCAACUUUUUUCCCCUUUAGCACUAAAAUUCAUUUUUGAUACUUUAUGCAAAAAUUAUGAUGAAAAUGAGUCACUUUAGAACAUCAAUAAUUUUUUUUACAUCCAAGAUAACGACAACUACACUUAGAUCACUCUUCUUUAGUUGAAUUAUAUAGUUAAUAAAGUUGGCUUAGCAAAAUAUGAUUCUUGACAAUUGUAAUUGAGGGCUAGUAUUCUUUGGUUUUAGUUGUAGGGCUUAUAACGCCGUGCAACAGUUCUUGGUGGGUUCGAAUUAUUCUUUGGUUUCAAUUCUUUACGGUUCGUAAUUAAAAAUUCCUAUAUCACAAUUAGAACUUACAAACAAGUUAAAGUGAGUUAAAUCAAACGUAUAAAUUCAAGGUCUGUUACAAACUUCUAAAAUAGAUUUUCUCUGUUCUUUUUUCUUUCACUUUCUCUUCCAUUUUCCCAAUCCCCAAACACCACCAAUCCCUGAUUUUUUUAUUGUUAGCUGUCUAUUUCUACAAACAUAGAACUGCUGUUUGUUUGUCUAAUUACUUUCAAGAAACAAAACUCUCUGUCAUGUGGUCUCUUCGUUUAUUGGCUCGUGAGCAUGUAAGAUAUUGGGCCAAUGGGCUUAGCGUGACAAGUUCUUGAAUUGCAUGGCUCCUCUUUUUUUUCAUAAAUCUUUGCUUAAUUUUUUUGUUCCCUCAACCUUUUUUGGCCUUUCGCGCUAAAAUUCUUUUUUUGAUACAUUAUGCAAAAAUUAUGAUGAAAAUGAGUUACUUUAGAACAUCAAUAAAUUUUUAUUACAUCUAUAAUAAGACAACUAUAGUGAGAUUACUCUUAUUUAGUUGAAUUAUAUGUAAUAAAAUUAGUUUAACAAAAUCUAACCCGUCAAUAUUCCAUAUCACAUGAUUAACGUAUUUAAAAAAUCUUAGCUGUUCCGUCGCUUGUUUUACAAUUCUUUUAUAUAUCUUUGAAACUUUCUGCUUCUUGACACAUCAUAUUGUUCUCAAUUCGUCUAAAUUAUUUUUUUCUUCAAACACUGCAGCAGCAACCGGUAUAAAAUAGAAUGAACUCAUUUAAUGGGAAUUUUUCUCAUUGGUCUAUUUCUCUUCGCACCUUAGGUUCCUCUAACAAACUUAAAAGAUGUCCCCCAUCCCACGUGUCCCCAAAUCUUCGUAUUUCCAAACAAACCCCUGCCAAAUAGAGAAGAGGAUGGCUUUUAUUGCAAACUGUAUGAACGUUAUGGCCAUGGGACAUUGGAUCAAAAUCAAACCAAUGGAUUGUAAAGCAAAAUUACCGAUUAAAAAUUCAACCAAUUGAAUCGGUUUGGUGUCACUUAAAAAAUAAAUAAUAUAUAAAACAACACAAUUAUCAUAUUAAUGAGCCACUGUUAAAUUCAUUUAGUCAGUAUUUUUCUUUUCCCAUUUUCAAUGAAUGCUUAAUUUUCUCAUAUGGAAAACAAUCUGUCCCAUUGAGCACUGUUUAAAUCAUUCCCUAGUUUGUUUAACACGCAAAGAAUAUUCUUAUUCGGUUCGGCAGCCAAUCCGUUAAAAUUUGUUAAAAUUCGUUUAAGUGAUGACUGUGAUAUGACUCGACCAAUCGUUUAAUUUGUAUAAUUUAUAAAAAUUUGAGCUUCAAGUAAUGUAGAUAGAAUGGUUAAGUAUUUUAAUAUUAAGAUAAAUUGAUAUAUGUCAUUAUAUUAUGAGUGGAUGAAAUAUCCAAUAGAAAAAAAAAAUAUUUGUAUUCGUCAUUUUUGGUGGGAAUCUAUUUAGUGUAACUUAUCCAUAAAAAUGGUUGCCGACUUAUCUUGUUUCUCAUUUUGUUUAAUUUUUAUAAAUUUGACUCAUGAUUAAUUGUGAGUGAAGAUUUUUUUGGAAAAAAUCUGGUCUUACAUUUAUUUUGUAGGAUUUAAAAGAUUAAAAAACUUUAAUACAUAUAAUUUUAUGUUCGAAACUAAAUACUCGUAGCAUUGCUGCUUCUAUAAAUAACUCAUUUGAGCUUCCAGCCUGUUAUUUGUAUUUUACGUUUCUGUUUCUCUUCAUAAAGAUUUUUUUUUUCCAUUCUCUUUUUCUUCCACUUUCCCGACUCCCAAACACCACCAGUCUUUGAUUUUCCUAGAGUAUUAACUAUCUGUUUACACGAACAUAGACCGACAGUUUGUCUAAUUACUGUCAAGAAACAGCAUACUCUGUCUCGGGGUCUCUUCGUUUAUUAACUUUUCACUUGUGAACGGGCUAAUUAAAGGGUGUUCCUUCCUUCAAGAAAGAAUGCCAAGAAAGUACCAUCCAUUAGACACGUUAAGAAUUAUUUUACAUUAAAAAUGAUAAUAAUCGGUUUAGUGUUACCCCAUUAUUAGGUAAUGACUGUCCGAUUGUCUUCGCUUUCAUUGACUUUGCAACUGUGAAUUCUAAGCCGGGUUAAGGAUUGACAAAAUGUAAUAACCCAUAAAGCACGGAUAAUUAAUUAAUGGGCCACUGAUUUCUUCUUUAAAGGCUAAUUCUUGGUAAAGAUCAGAAAGUUCUCAAAUAAAAAUUCGGCUUUGUGGAAAUUAAAUUAAAAGUAAUUAAGCAAUUAACAGCUUAAUCGAGUUUGGUUUUGAAAAAUAUAUCUUUAAAUCUCUUGUAAUUAAAGAUAAUUAUCAUAUUACCGUCUCAAAUGGACCGAUUUCAAUCAAAUGAAAUCUAGAAAAUUGAGCAGCUCAUUGAUGUAUUUGGUCGAAUUGUGACUUGUGUCAGAGUCUUCGUUUUAGAAGAGUGCACAGCAGCUGCCAGGUCCACUUGGCAGUUGGCACGCCAAAAUUUUUCUGUUGACCAAUAAUUUUGAAAGGGAUAUUAUUAAUUUACUAUCAAAUAUUUUCUAACACAUCACUUUACUAUCAAAAAUUUUUGACAAUAAUUUUUUGUCACUUAAUAUUUCAAUUUUUUAUCAUUUUAUCAUAAAAAAAUAAUAAAUGCAUGCUUAGUGUAAGUUAUCCAUAAAAAUGGUUGUUGAAUUGUCUUGUUUCUCAUUUGGUUUAAUUUUCAUAAAUUCGACUCAUACAAUUCAAUUAUGAGUGAAGAGUUUUUUUAGGAAAAAUCUGGUCUUCCAUUUACUAUAAUCAGGUCUGAAUGAUUUUAUUAUUUUUCUUUUGUUUGAAAUAUACGUGGAAAAUGUUGAACACUUUGUAGGAUUUAGAAGAAUUUGAAAGUUUGAAUGCAUAUAGUUUACUAUCCAUCAGCUAGUGCAUAUUCUGUAUUUUAUGAAAUCAAAGCUGGUUGAUUGAGAAAUGGACCUUAUUACAUGUCAUAAGAUUUUACAGUGCUUUCUAAUGGAGCAAAAUAAAAUGAUUCUAACCUGUAUUGUUUAGAUGACACUGAAGUAUUACCUAAAUUAGCCUUUCAAAAAUCUAUGGUUGUGAUGCGUCUCUAUAAACUCACUCGUACAAAUUCUAUCUAAUGCCAAAUGUUUUAAACCCUGUUCUGAACAGAGUAUGAAAGGAUAUAUUCACUUAUCUAGUUAUGUCUUUUAUGCUUUCACUUCACUUGAUUCACCUUGUCCCUCUUUUAAAACAGCUGUAUAUGCUGGAGUAUAUACUUGAUCACAGUUCAUUCGCUGCACUCAGUUUACAGAGUAUUUCGGGAUUCAAGACUGUAGGCUGUUGCGGAUGCAACUUGCAAGGCUGUUGCUGUGUGACUGUAUGCCACGCUGGCAAGUGUGCUCUGACAGAUUGUGGAGAUCGCACCAAAGAUUGUAAACUAAUUAGUACUGAAAAAUCCUAUUUGCACAUAAAAUUGCACAAAAUAAAUAGAUUGAGAAUAGUUGUACAAAGAAAUAAGAUUAAUAAAGUAAUUACAUUUAUCUUUUAACAAAAUAUUUCUAGUCUUUUGGUGUUUUUGUGUAUUUUUGUGUACGUACAAGCUGCAUUACUCAUUAGUGAUUAACCUAAUGAGUAAGUAGCUCGUUUGAGCCUAGGACCUGUAAUUAUGUUUUACCUUUCUGUUACUCUCUCUUAAAUAUUAUCGCUGUUCUUUCUUCUUUUCUUUGACUUUCUUUUCCAUUUUCCUGACUCCCAAACACCACCAAUCCUUGAUUUUCUAGAGUAUCAGCUAUCUAUUUCUACAAACACAAAACUACUAUUUACUUUCAAGAAACAACGUAUUCUGUGGUUUAUUGGCUUGUGCCUUGUGAACGGGGCUAAUGUUGGUCUAACUACUUUCACGAAACAACGUACUCCGUGGCUUAUUGUCUCCUCAUCCAUUGACUCUGUCAAUUCAUGACUUUGACGCGCACGGUAGCUGCUAACUGCCUUCUCCAUUUGACGUGCAAAAAACUUUCUUGAGUCGGGUUAAAAUUAAUUGAUCAUUUUAUUUGGUGAUAAUGACUUACUAGUCAAGUCAUGAGUUUGAUGAUGAAGAGGACGAAAAAUAUUAUUUUAUUAUUUAAAAUAAGACUAUCAAUUAUUUCGAUGGUCAUCUUAUUUUCUAAAAUAACUAAAUGGAAUCUUACAGAAUUAAAGUGAAAAAAGAAAUUAAGAAAUUAAAUACUUUUCAUGCGAGUGGAGAAGAUUGGGUAGCGGUUACAUUAAAUAAAAGAAAAAUUCUGUAGAUUUAUUGAAUAACUAUUGAUUUUACUUUGAUAAUUUCUUUCUAAAAGUAAGGUAAACAUUUUUAUUUUCUUUGCAUUCGAGGUUUCUUUCUUUUGCGCUGGCCUUCACACUCUUGACCGUAUUUCAUGGGGCACAUUCAAUCUCAAUCUUCUGCAAGUUUGUGGCAGUUUUGUUAAUUACGAACUUUUGUAGGAUUUUAUGGAGAUGAUACUUUUAUAUACAUUUUUCUUUUCUUCGGUGAACAAAUUAAAAAUUUAGUUUUUGUCAUCAUGACUAGUGAAAUGAAAAUAGUCCUCAUUUCAAGGAUUGACAAAAGUCAAAAACGUUGUAUUCAUGCCGAUUAAUGGGGAACUAGUUUUGUCUUCUUAAAAGAGAAUUAUUUGCAGGGCGGUAAUUCGGAGAUUUCUGUAUUAUAUAGCCAAACCUAAGUGAUUAGAAAAAUGAGAAAUAAUUUGGAGGGAAACAAAAAAACUAAUUCAAGUUAAAGACCAGGAAUUUGUGUUCCUCACAAAAACAAUAAUUCAAGCCUCGCAAUAAUUUUUUUGAUUUAUUUAAAAAAAAAAAAUUGUUUUCCUCACAAAAACAUUUCAACGUCUAUUCUCUCGUACAGGGGAAUAUCCUUCACUCUUUGGCGUAUCCCUGGGGCAAUGUAAGUUGACUUUACAUUAAAACAAAAAAUAAUUACAAUCACAUAAUUACAAUUAUCAUCACCGAUUUGUAUAAUUUUCAGGACUAGUAAAUUAUCUCAAUUUUUAAAAAACAUAAUUACAAUUAUCGAUCGAACACCACUAAUUCCAACAAUUCAUCCAAGUUUUUCAAGUUUUUAGAUAUUUGAUAUAUGUCAUGUUUUAACUUGGUACGAGAAAAAAAUUAUAGAAUAAUUUUUUUUUCAGAUUAGUGGAAUUAUUUUACGAUAAAACUAUCACAAUCACAUUUAAAAAUAUUCUUUAAAUUUUCACUAUUUCUACUGUUAUUCUUUAAACUUUUUUCUGAACAGAGCAUGGAGGGUCGCUUAUCUAAAUAUGUUUUCUGUGCUUUCACUUCACUUGAUUCAUCUUGUCCCUCUUUCAUAGCUUCUAUCUCGUGUGAGCUUAGAACCUGCAACUCGUAUUUUACGUUUCUGUUACUUUCUCUUUCAUUUUCCCGACUCCCAAACACCAUCAGUCCUUGAUGUUAUAGAGUAUUAGCCGUCUAUUUGUACAGACAUAGAGCUACUGUUCCCACUGUAGAUCUUCAGAUGGUUAGCUCACUAUUGUUUGAAUAUUAAAAUUAAUUUGUUAAAUAAAUAAAGAAAACAAGAGACAAUUGCCAUAUAUAUUCCACAUUAAUUAGUCACCGUCCGAUUGUCUCCACUUCCAUUGACUCUGUUGAUUCAUGCUUUCAUGAAGUGAAACGCUUAACACUCUGUUCUGAUCCGCAGGAGAGGAGGAAAAACAUAAUUUUAUUAUUUCAUUCCUGACACGCGCAAAGAGCUUUCGUAACCGGCUCGGCAGCUGAUUCCUUAAAAUUUGUUAAAUUUCAUUUAAUUGAUGAAUGUGACAUGAAGCUCUAUAAAUAGUUUAAUUUGUAAAAUUGUUAAAAAUUUAAAUUUCAAGUAAGGUAGAUAAAAUGAUUAACUUUUUUUAAUAUUUAGAUAAUUAACAUGUGCCGUGUUACUAUUAGUGAAUGAAUGAAAUUUUUGAAGUGCGAAUCCAUUUACAAGUUACGACUUGUCUCGUUUCUCAUUUUACGUAAUUUUCAUAAAUUUGACUCACGAUCAAUUAUGAGUGAAGAGUUUGUUGGAAAAAUAUGAUCUUCCAUUUAUUGUAAUCAGAUGAGUGUGAUUUAAUUAUUUUUUUCCUUUUGCUUGAUGUCCCGAAAAUUAUGAAUGCUUUGUAGGAUGCAGAAGAUUAAAAAUUUUAAUGCAUAUCUAUAGUCAAAACUGAGGAAACAGAACAUUAUUGCUUCUAUAAAUAGGUCAUUUCAACUUAAAACUUGUUACUUGUUUUUUUUAACUUUUUCUUCCAUUUUCCCAAACACCACCAAUCCUUGAUUCUUUUCCUAGAGUAUUAGCUGUCGAUUGUUACAAACAUAGACAUACUGUUUGUCUAAUUACUAUCAAGAAACAGCAUACUCUAUCCUGGGGUCUCUUCGUUUAUUUAAUAUUUAGGUUUAUUAAUAUACUAUAUUAUUAAUUAAAUUAAUUAAUAAUUUAAAUUAAUUAAAUAAUAAAAGUUAAAUGAUUAUAUUUAAAAUCCAAGUAGUAUUUUAAUGUAAUGAAACCUAAAUCCCACCUCUAUACCACAUUUGUUAUACAAUGUAAUGCAACUAUAAAUUAUAAUUAUAUAAAAAUAAUAUUUUAAUACAAUAUAAUACAAGUAUAAUAGUAUUACAAGUGUAAGGCUGUAAUAUUAAUUAGCCUGUGUAAUAGAAUGCCAUGCUGGCAAGUGUGCUAUAACAGAUUGUCGAGCUGGCACCAAUUAUUUUAAACUAAUAUUAGUAAUUAGUUUAGAGUGUUUCGAUUUAUUCUAUAAAUAGAUCAUUUCAGCUUUGAACCUGUGAACUUGUAACGUGUACUGUACUUUUCUAUUACUUCUAAUAAAGAUUUUCUCUAUUCCUUUUUCUUUCACUUUCUCUUCCGUUUUCCCGACCCUCAAACACCGUCAAUCCUUGUUUGAAUAAAGGCAAAUCAGAUGUUGGGCCAAUGGACCCAACGUCACAGAUCUUGAAUUGAUUGCCUCUUCUUUUCUCCACAAAUCUUUGCUUAAUUUUUAUGUUUCCUCAACUUUUUCCCCCCUUUUGUGCUAAAAUUAUUUUUCUGAUACUUUAUGCAAAAAAUAUGAUGAAAAUGAAUUAGUUUAGAAUAUCAAUAAAUUUUUAUUACAUUCAAGAUAAGGACAACUACUCUUAGAUCACUUUUAUUUAGUUGAAUUAUAGGUAAUAAAAUUGGUUUUAACAAAAUAUGAUUCUUAACCCUUGUAAUUAAAGGCUGGUGUUAUUUAGUUUAGUUAUAACACCAUGCAACAGGUCGUCUUGGUGGGUUCAAAUGAAUAUACGAUCAUUGUCAAUAUUUAAUAGUUCGUAAUUAAAAAUUCCAAUAUCAUAAUUAGAACUUACAAACAUGCCAAAGUGAGUUAAAUCAAACCUAUAAAUUUAAGGUCUACUACAAACUUCUAACAAAUUAAAAUUUAAAACGAUUGAUUAAAUGCUAGACAAAAUUUAGCUUAUAAAUGUUCCCGACCACAUGAUGAAUGUACUUAAAACAUCCUAAUUGGUCGCUAAUUGAUUGGUUGUUAUUUUUUCAAUUUCUUUUUAUAUAUCUUGGAAGCUUCUAGUUUCAUAACAUGUUAUUUACGAUUCGUGUAAAUUAUUAUUUUUUAAAUAUUAGAGCAACAACCAGUAUAAAAAUAAAAUGCACUCAUUUAAUGUAAAUUUUUCUAGAUGCUUCAAUGGCAGAAUCUCAUUGGUCUAUAACUUCUCAAUAAAUUUUUCUAGAUGAUUCAAGAUUCAAUUUCAAACCAACGCCGAACAAACAGUAUAAACCUUAAUAAGAUAGUUGAAUAACCAUCUCUUACGUCGGGUGACCGAAUAACCAUCGCUUUCGUCGGAAUUUAAACUUAAACAAAGCUACAUCCCACGUGUCCCCCACUUUCUUAAUAUUUCCAAAAAACCCCUACCAGAUCCAGAUAAUCACCUUAACUUUUCUCGUAUAAAUAGAGAAGACGACGACGAUUCCUGCAAAGCCAGGUGAGUCACGUGAACGUUACGGCCAUGGGACACUGGAAUUGGAUCAAACCACCGGAAUGCACAGCAAAAUUAACCCGAAUAAACUAAAUUAGAUCCAACAAAUUGAAUCAGUUUGGUGUCACUCAGAAAACAAAUAAAUAUAUAAAACAACACAAUUAUCACGUUAAUGGGGCACUGUUAAAUUCAUUCAGUGGAUACUUUUUUUUUUUUCUCAUUUUCAAUGAAUGCUUAAUAUGAAAAAUAAUUUGUCCCAUAGAGCACUGUUUAAGUCAUUCAAUGAAAAUGAAUACUUCUAUAAGAAACAAUUAUUCCCCUGUUUAUUUGACACGCAAAGAACUUUCUUACUCAUCUCGGUGACCAAACCUUUAACAUUUGUUGAAAUUCAAUUAAUUGAUGAAUGUGACAUAACUCGAUAAAUCGUUUAAUUUGUAUGAUUGAUAAAAAAAAAUUUAAGCACGUAAACAUACGAGCUUUCUUUCUUUUACUCUCUAUUUCAUGGUUAUUCAAUUUCAAUCUUCUGCAAGUUUUUGGCCGUUUUAUUAUUUACGAAAUUCUAUAGGAUUGCAUUAGAUUAUACUUUUACAUGCAUUUUUUCUUCUUUCUCUUUUUUUUUUUUUUUUGGGUAAACAUAUUAUUUUAUCAUCUAUCACUAUAAGAAUGAAAUGAAAAUAGUUCUCAUUUAAAGUAUUGACAGCAAUGUUAUACUCAAUAUAACGGAUAAAGCACGCAAAUUAAUUGAAAGCUCAUAGAGUUUCCAUAUUAGCUGAACCUAAGUGAUAAGUGUUUCCUUAUGAGCCAUGAUUUGGGGAAAAAAACCAAUUCAAGUUAAAGAUCAGAAAAGUGUGUCCCUCACGAAUACAACAAUUCAAGCCAGGCAUUUAUCAAACGCAUGACAGAGAUUCAACAUGUUGUCUCAUGGAAAGAAAUCCUUCAGUCUCUGACGUAAUACUUGGGGCAACGUAAAUUGACUUUACAUUGAACGAAACACUGGCCACAAACAUUAUCAAAAUUAAAUUGAUCGGUUUAACGUAAGUUUUUCUUCAAGAACGAAUGCCAAGAGCUCAAGAAAGUACUAUCCAUUAGACACGUUAAGAAUUACUUUUCUUUUCAUAAUAAAUUAGAUUGAGUUAAUAAUAUUUGCCUGUGUGAAAUGAAUAAUCAGUUUAGUGUCACCCCAUUAUUAAUUUGUGACUGUCCGAUUGUCUCCUUUUUCAUUGACUUUGCAACUGUGACUUCUGAACCGGGUUAAGAGUUGACAAAAAUGUUAAUGUUAAUAUGUUAUAACUCAUAAAACACGCAUAAUUAAUUAAUGGCCCACCAAUUUCUUCUUCUCAAAAGAGAAUUUUUGCAGGAGAUUGAAAAAAGGCUAAUUCAUGUUAAAUAUCUUAGAUGAGUGUCUAUCACGAAUACAAGUCAAGCCACAGGAUUUUUCUUGUUAUACUAUUUAUUGGCACUUGUGAAUCCUUGAAUUAUCAAAUGAAUAGCAACAACACUUCAAUAUCUAUUGUUACAAGGAGAGAAAUCCGUUCUCUCUUUGAUGUACUACUUGGCAAUAUACAUUGAUCUUUCAUUAAAACAAGCAUUCUCAUAUUGUUGAGAAAAACUCACGUUAAACUAUUCAAUUUAAUCAUUUAUUAAACAGAUAUUUGGUUUGAUUCAUUUUAUUCAUUUAGUAGAAUUAAUAAACGAAUCGAAUCGAAUCCAGAUUCAUUUAUUCUAUUACGAAUCCACAACGAAUUGAAUCGAAUCGAAUCAGAAUUCAUUUACAAUUCAUUUAGAAAAAUAUAAUUGAUAAACAAAAUUAAGCAAAAUAAAAUAUAAAAAAGCCGCAAAUUUUAUACCACUUCCUACACCAUAUUCCUAAUUAGCUAGGGAUAGUCUACCAUGCAAUGGCUGCUGUCUUAAUUAAAUAAAAUAUGUGCUUUUAUACGCCCUCUCAAAGAAUAUCGAUCUCCUCAAGACUUUACAUAUUUGUUUUUGAAUAUAAACACUUGUUCACUUCUACAUAUUUUUUUUUAGCUACAUCCAUAGAAUUGCUCUAGCCUCUACGUUGGACAUAGCUGCUGUCUUGAUUAAAUAAAAUAUGUACUUUCAUACGCCCUCUCAAAGAAUAUCGAUCUCGUCGAGGCUUUACAAGCUUCGGUGGGAUCUUUAGAAAACGUCUCGACGACUCAAAAGACUACACUCCCACUUUCAAAAGUGGCACGAUUUGAACUUAUCCUGCCAACCUUCUAGAAGAGUAGUGAUAAACUUCAAGAUCAUUCUUUUAAUUUUGUCCCUUUUAACAUUUUGGUUUCAGGUAAGGACCAAUCACUUGGACACUUCAAUUUUACUUUUGGACCUUUCUUAUAAUGACAAUACCCUCCAUCCCGCGGUCUCUUCGUUUAUUGACUUGUUACUUGUGAACAGGACUAUAUAAAGGGCAAAUAAGAUGUUGGGCCAAUGGACCCAACGUCACAGAUCUUGAAUUGAUUGCCUCUUCUUUUCUCCACAAAUCUUUGCUUAAUUUUUAUGUUUCCUCAACUUUUUCCCCCCUUUUGUGCUAAAAUUAUUUUUAUGAUACUUUAUGCAAAAAAUAUGAUGAAAAUGAAUUAGUUUAGAAUAUCAAUAAAUUUUUAUUACAAUCAAGAUAAGGACAACUACUCUUAGCUCACUUUUAUGAAAUUCGUUACUAGAAAUUUGUAUAAAAGUCGUGAGAAUAGAAAUUUUGGUAAAACAAAAGUCGCAGGCUUAUUUAGAAAAAAAGAAAAAAUUACAUUCUAUUUUCCAAUUACUAAGGUCAGCCUUAACACAUGCCGAUCUUUUUCUCCUCUACUUUCUAGAAAUUUUGGUUUCACUAUAAAAACUCGGUAUAUAACAAACUUAUGAGUGUUCUUGCAUUACCAAUCCAAUUAAGCACACGCUUACAAUCUAAAAUACUCUCAUCUCAUGGAAAGAGUUCAUUCUCUCAGGAUGAUGAGCAUAUUUCUCCUACUCCAUUGUUUGAUUAUUAUGUCCUUAUUUAUCGCAGCAACAACAGCCAACACAAGUUCUACUAUCACAGACCGAGAUGCUCUGUUAGCCCUGAAAGCUCACAUAACUCAUGAUCCGACCAAUUUCUUGGCCAAGAAUUGGAACACAAGUACUCCUGUCUGUAAUUGGACAGGCGUCGCUUGUGACAUCCACAGCCAUAGAGUCACAGUCUUGAAUAUUUCAAGCUUAAAUCUCAGAGGCACCAUCCCAUCUCAACUUGGGAAUCUUUCUUCUCUGCAAUCACUCAAUCUCAGUUGUAACCGACUUUCUGGUUCCAUUCCCUCCGCCAUCUUCACCAUAUACACACUGAAAAAUGUUAGUCUCGGUAAAAAUCAGCUCUCUGGGGAAAUUCCUACAAAUAUUUGUAGUAAUCUUCCUUUUCUUGAAUUUCUUUCUUUGUCCCCAAACAUGUUCCAUGGCGGAAUACCGUCCACUCUAUCAAAUUGCACAUAUUUAAGAAUCUUAAGUUUGGCAUACAAUGAUUUCUCGGGAGCCAUACCUAGAGAAAUCGGUAACUUGACCAAACUUAAGGUAUUAUAUAUUGGCGCGAAUAGACUCCAAGGUGCGUAUGAUCAUGGAGUUUAAUUAUAAAAAUUGUUCCAUAAUACACUUCUGAGCCCGAAAUCCUUUCCUUUCCUCCUUGACUCUCCUAUCGUCGAGCUAAGUGACUCUGUCAUGCCGCUUCAAGUAAUAUAAACGUUGAUUAAUUUGCAGGAGAAAUUCCUCGAGAGUUUGGCAAUCUUACCGAAUUGGAGCAGUUUUCGUUACCAACAAACAAUCUCCAAGGUAUAAUUUUAAACUUUUUGCAAUUUUAUUCUAGCUCUGCUUGCUUCUGUAUUCAUUCGUUUGUUCAUUAAUUAUGCUAUGAUUUAUUGUUUUUCUUUCAGAUAGAGAUAAAGCUCCAUGUCUCCCCUCACUCAUUUCGUUCUUUGAUUUAUGCAGAUAAAAAUAAAAAAAAAAUGUUUUGUAAUUUUCUUUUGUCAUAUUGCCACUUCCCUUUUGAAGCUCCCAAUUAAGUCGAUGAAAAUGAAUGAUGCUUCAUUCGUAUUCUUGUCAGCCUAAUUCUUAUAUAAUUGAAGAGUAAAUUGUUAUUAUGAUAUUCGUCAGCCAAUAAAUUCUUUUUUUUUUCUCAAAAUAUGAGUGAUCAAAUUGUUUGUGCAUAUAUAAUUUUACUUAAUUUGCAGGAGGUAUUCCACAGGAAUUGGGGAAUCUUGCAAAAUUGGAGAUUUUACAGCUGUUCCAGAAUAACUUGACCGGUAACCAUCUUUACUAUAUAUAUAUGAGACAUCUUCCGCUUCUUAAUUAAAAGAUUUCAAGUCUCUCAUUAUACAUUCUCAUAUGAGGAUAUGUCAUUACUACAAUCUAACAUUAUUCCCUUUUUUAUUAGAAAUUAGUUUGUGUUAAUUCAAAAUUUUGUAACAUUUAAUAAAAAUUAAAAACACGUGGAAUAAAUCAUCAAUCUUUCUUCUUUAUUGAAUUUGGAUUUCUCAAAAAUUAUUUUGACAAGUAUACUUCACUAAUGAUAUGCAUGUGUGACAACUUCAUAAAAUAUUUUACAUGGAGUCACCAAUUAUCUUUAAAUAAUUGGAGAUGCCAUCAGUGAUACAUAAUUUCUUAACAAGCACCAUAUCAAAAGAAAUCAACAAUUUUAUUAAUCUUCAAGAGUUACAUCUUCACUGCAAUUAUGACAUAAUUUUUUAGUCAUCAAUCGCACAAUAUUUUAUCUUAAUGGAUGAUGUUCAAUCUUGGAAUUUAUAAUACCUUGAAGGUUAGUAGCUUUGAAAAUAAGAACUGUUCAUUUGCUAAAAAGUUAACUUAGUAUUUAAGUUUUUCAAUUGAAAAUUUUGAAAAAAGUCUUGAGAACUGCCCUCCUUAGUAUUUCAGCUGAUAAAUAUGAAAAAUAGGCUUGAAGAAAUAUUGUUGUGUGUGCUUAUUCUACUUGGGCUUUGGGCUUGAUUACAAGGUCGAGCACUUACACCUGUCAUAAUAAUAGGCUUUUACUUUCACCACACGUUUAAUAAUUUCUUAACCUUCCGAAUUAAGUUAUGGCAAUUUAUAUAUAAAUAACUAAAGCAUACUAAUUCUAGCACAAAGUACUCAUGACUUAGGCUUGCUGUGUUACCUAUUACACACGGUCGAAUACUUACAUCUGUUAGAAUAACAAUAGCAUCCGCGGAUCGACUAUCAGUGAUCAAAUUGUUUGCACAUAUGUAAUUUGCAGGAGCAAUUCCACGGGAGUUGGGAAAUAUUACAGGAUUGGGGAUCUUAGCGCUGUCUGAUAAUUUUUUAACCGGUAUCAUUCCUUCAUUCCUUCUCUAUUAAAUUUGGAACUGUCAUUUAAUAACUUAACAGGUAACUUCCCUUACAAAAUGUCUGUGUGACAUGUUUUGCUUCUAAAUUAAAAUAUUUCACGUCUCUCAUUAUAAAUUCUCAUAGGCGGAUGUAUUGUUACUACUAUUUAACAUUAUCUCGUUUUUUUUAUUAGAAAUUAAUCUGUGUUUAUGCAAAAAAUUUUAGCAUCUAAAAAAAGUAUAAAAACGCGUGGAAUAAAUCGAAAAUCUUUCUUCAUUACUGAAUUCGGAUUUCUCAAAAAUUAUCAUGAGAACUUCAUAAAAUAUUUUACAUGGAAUCAGUAAUUAUCUUUAAAUAGUUGGAGAUGCCAUCACUAAUAAAUAGUUUCUUAAAAAGCAUCAUACUAAAAGAAUUCAAUAAUUUUAAUAAUCUUAAAGGGUUACAUCUUCACUGCAAUUAUGACAUAAUUUUUUAUCUAAAUAUAUUUUUUGUCAUCAAUCGCAUAAUAUUUUAUCUUGACAGAUGAUGUUCAAUCUUGGAAUUUAAAAUAUCUUGAAGGUUAGUAGCUAUGAAAAUUAAAAAAUUUUUAUUUGCUAAAAAAUUAACUUAGUAUUUAAGCUUUUCAAUUGGAAAAUUUGAAAUAAAUGUUGAGAACUGGCCCUCCUUAGUAUUUCAGCGGAUAAAUAUGGAAAAUAGGCUAGAAAAAAUUAUUUUACUGAAAUAAUAGUUAAAAAUAGAGAAGUACAGUACUCAUGACUUAGGCUUGCUGUGUACUUUUUUUACUUGGGGUUCGGGCUUGAUUACACACGGUCGAAUACUUACACAACUCCCCCCACAUAGGGUUUUACUUUCAUCCCUCAUUUGAUAAUUUCUUAACCUUCCCAAUUAGAUUAUAGCAAUUUAUAAAUAAAUAAAUAACUAAAGCAUACUAAAGCUAGCAUAGAUGGAUGGAUAAGUGGUGUCAAAAGUAUAUCUGUUUUUAUGUAUUAUUGUUCCCUAAUACAAAUCUGAAUAAUGGAAAAUAUAAAUUUAAUACUUUAUUUAAAACUCUGUUAACAUUUUAUCUAUACAUAAUAAUUAAACUGAAACUCGUACUUAAAAAAAUUUUGGUUACGCAUAUUCAUUUCAUGAUAAAAAAAUGUCUAUUUACACUAAUUUACCAUUAUCAAAAAAAUGCUUUGAGACAAAUAAUCUAAUUUAUAUUAGUAUAUUUAAAAUACUUGCAUUUAUUAUAUUUUGAAAAAAAAUUAUUUGCAAUUAUUUUAAACCUUUCAAUUCAAAUUUUCUUAGUUAUUAAAGUCAAAGGGUAUAAAUGUAUAAUAGUCAAACAUAGAUUUGUAUGAUCAUUUUUCAAUGUAUAAAUUUUCUUAGUUAGUAGGAAAUUAAAAAUUGUUGAUUUACUCAUAAAUAAAUUUAGUGUUUAGCAUUUCAAUUUUGGAAAACUUGAACUAAAUGUUGAUAACUUCGAAUCCAUCGAGCCGAGUUUCGCUUCCUUGACACACAGACCCAUUCGAAGUAGUAUUCGAAUUGAGUUUCCAAGUGCUUAGAAAAAGCAUUUCUUUUCCAUGUCACUAUAAUUUAUUCACAAAAGAGUUGAUUAGCGUCGAUGUUGCUUCAGAGUUUGAGACCAUGUUAAUAGGAGAAAUUUGAAAAGAAAUUAUUUUACUGAAUUAAUUUAUUUUAUCUUGCUGUAACUGAAAUACCACCUUUUUUUUUUGCUAUCACUGGGGCUUGAUUUACUUUAAUAAUAGCAGCCACAGACUUAGGCUUUUUUACUUUUCACCACACAAUUUGAUCUUUUAAUUCGUUUUAACCACAUAAUCUAUCUAUCUCACACCUAUUGCUUACUUAAAUCGCAUACAUAUUUUACCUACUAAUUUUUACAAACAUUAGUGAAAUAUAUUUUAUUACAUUUCGCUCGUAACUGCUCUAGUUGUGCACUAUUAAUACUUAAC